rnacentral:rRNA from 1 species
AGCAUGGUCUUAGCUUGCUAAGGCCGAUGGCGACCGGCGCACGGGUGAGUAACGCGUAUCCAACCUUCCCCAUAGCAGGGAAUAGCCCGGCGAAAGUCGGAUUAAUGCCCUAUGUUGUCCUUUGAGAGCAUUCUAUUUGGACCAAAGAUUCAUCGCUAUGGGAUGGGGAUGCGUCUGAUUAGCUUGAUGGCGGGGUAACGGCCCACCAUGGCUACGAUCAGUAGGGGUUCUGAGAGGAAGGUCCCCCACAUUGGUACUGAGACACGGACCAAACUCCUACGGGAGGCAGCAGUGAGGAAUAUUGGUCAAUGGGCGCUAGCCUGAACCAGCCAAGUAGCGUGCAAGGAUGACUGCCCUAUGGGUUGUAAACUGCUUUUAUGCGGGAAUAAAGUUCGCCACGCGUGGCGUUUUGCAUGUACCGCAUGAAUAAGGACCGGCUAAUUCCGUGCCAGCCGCGGC